UUGAACCAAGGCGUAAUAUUUCGGCAUAUAAAAAUGAUGGCAGUAAGCAAGAUGUCAAAGACUUUGAACCAAGGUCCAACAUUUCAGCUUAUGGAGACAAUGACAUUGAUGUAAAAGAAAAGAAUGGAGCCAUUAAAGAUUUUGAACCUAGACCUAAUAUUUCAGCUUAUGGAGAAAAUGUCAUUGAUGCUGAUGAAAAGAAGAAACCAGUCAAAGAUUUUGAACCAAGACCCAAUAUUUCAGCUUAUGGAGACAAUGACAUUGAUGUUAAGGAAAAUAAGGGAGCCACCAACGAUUUUGAGCCAAGACCCAACAUUUCAGCUUAUGGAGACAAUGUCAUUGAUGAUAAUAAAAUGAAGAAACCAGUUGAAUAUUUCCAACCAAGACCAAACAUUUCAGCUUAUGGAGAAAAUGACAUUGAUGUUAAAAAAAGUAAAGAUUUUGAACCAAGACCCAACAUUUCAGCUUUUGGAGACAAUGACAUUGAUGUUAAUGAAAAGAAGGGAGAUACUAAAGAUUUCGAACCAAGACCAAAUAUUUCAGCUUAUGGAGACAAUGCCAUUGAUGAUGAUGAAAUGAAGAAACCAAUUAAAGAUUUUAAACCAAAACCAAACAUUUCGGCUUAUGGAGACAAUGUCAUUGAUGCUGAUGAAAUGAAGAAACCAGUCGAAGGUUUUGAACCAAGACCAAACAUUUCAACUUAUGGAGACAAUGUCAUUGAUGUUGAUGAAAUGAAGAAACAACAAGUCAAAGAUUUUGAACCAAGAACCAACAUUUCAGCUUAUGGAGACAAUGACAUUGAUGUUAAAGAAAAGAAGGGAGUCACCAACGAUUUUGAGCCAAGACCCAACAUUUCAGCUUAUGGAGACAAUGUCAUUGAUGCUAAUAAAAUGAAGAAACCAGUUGACGAUUUCCAACCAAGACCAACUAUUUCAGCUUAUGGAGACAAUGCCAUUGAUAAUAGUAAAACGAAUGAAGUCAUCAAAGAUUUUGAAUCAAGACCCAACAUUUCAGCUUACGGUAACAAUGAAGUUGACACUAAGAAAAAAGAAAAAGCUGCCAAAGAUUUUGAACAAAGACCCAUUAUUUCAGCUUAGGAAGACA
rnacentral:lncRNA from 1 species